ACUCCUACGGGAGGCAGCAGUGGGGAAUAUUGCACAAUGGGGGAAACCCUGAUGCAGCCAUGCCGCGUGUGUGAAGAAGGCCUUCGGGUUGUAAAGCACUUUCAGUAGGGAGGAAGGUAGUGUAGUUAACACCUGCAUUAUUUGACGUUACCUACAGAAGAAGCACCGGCUAACUCCGUGCCAGCAGCCGCGGUAAUACGGAGGGUGCGAGCGUUAUCCGGAUUUAUUGGGUUUAAAGGGUCCGUAGGCGGGUUAAUAAGUCAGUGGUGAAAUCCCAUCGCUUAACGAUGGAACUGCCAUUGAUACUGUUAGUCUUGAAUGAGGGUGCAGUGGUUGGAAUGUGUAGUGUAGCGUGAAAUGCAUAGAUAUUACACAGAACACCGAUUGCGAAGGCAGAUCACUAACCCUAAAUUGACGCUGAGGGACGAAAGCGUGGGGAGCGAACAGGAUUAGAUACCCUGUAGGUCAGUC
rnacentral:rRNA from 1 species